rnacentral:rRNA from 1 species
UACGUAGGGGGCAAGCGUUAUCCGGAUUUACUGGGUGUAAAGGGAGCGUAGGUGGUUCGAUAAGUCAGAUGUGAAAGCCCGGGGCUCAACCCCGGGACUGCAUUUGAAACUAUCGGACUAGAGUGCAGGAGAGGUAAGUGGAAUUCCUAGUGUAGCGGUGAAAUGCGUAGAUAUUAGGAGGAACACCAGUGGCGAAGGCGGCUUACUGGACUGUAACUGACACUGAGGCUCGAAAGCGUGGGGAGCAAAC